rnacentral:lncRNA from 1 species
GACGGGCGCGCCCGCAUCGCCCAUAUUUUUUGUUUGUCCGCCAUCAUCGAAGAAUCAACUCUCUCUCCUAAAUCCUGAGGAGAGACCGAUCCAGUGCCAGUGCCAGUGAAAGAAGUACAACUAUGUAAAUUACCUGACCUUGGAAGAAUCGUUGUUGUUGUUGCCGGUGCCGGCCAUGUUUAAGUACAUGGCGGCACAUGUUGGUUGAGUUGUUACUUAUUAUUAGUAGGUAAGAGCAAUGAUGUAGGAGGUGGAGACAUAUGUUAAUGCUAGGUCUGUGACCUGUUUUAAGUACAUUUUUGUAAUGCUUGGUAGUGGUACUGUAAUGCGGCAGUAGCUGCUCCAUGUUUUGUCCCUUGUCCCUGAUGUAAAUGUCGUCGUCCUGCAGCAAAUGACUCUUCUUCUCUUACAUGGCCUGAUUACCAGUUGUGACGCAUGGUUCUUGGCAAGUCGGGAAAUGUGCACCGGGGGGUGCCUUUGACCGCCCAAGGCGACUGUUGCCCCCCUGAGGUCGUGACCAUCUCCCCCUUCCAAGGCCAUGUACAUCCUGCCACAGAAGUCUGCUGCUAAAAUUGACACGCUGGAGGCAGGUCAAUUGGGGUACCAACAAGUUUGCGAGGGCCUUUGGGUUGAGAUGGCCUUGCUGCGAGUGGAAGGAACCAACCAAGCUAUGGGUUGGAACGGGUAGUCCUUGCGAUGAGUUGGACCUUGACUUAUUCUAUGCUUCGGCCAUCAUCACCAUUGACAACGGUGCGUGAGCCCAUUUUUGGGACUACAAGUUUCAUUCACAAGGAAAAAAAAUGGAAGGUGUGAAGCUUUGAAGGAUGAUGCUUGACCAUCAUCACCAUUGACAACGGUGCGUGAGCCCCUUUUCGGGACUACAAGUUUCAUUCACAAGGAAAAAAUGGAAGGUGUGAAGCUUUGAAGGAUGAUGCGUGGAUUUUCAGGAUCGAAGUCUCCACCAACCUAAUCGUGGAUCAUAUCCAGGAGUCCAUUGUCCUUUGGGCGCUCAUCAAUGACUUCCUCAGUGAAAAUGUUGAGGGCGACAUUACUUGGAAGCAUACGGCGUGCAAGCACUAUUCGACAUGUCUGGCAAAAAUGGCCUAUGUGCACUUUGUAAAGAGAGCAAGUAUCCGUGUUACAACUUUUCACCAAGUGUCGGUUCAUCCCAAGGCUUUGGGGCUUGGUAAGGAGUGACUUCAAAUCGAGAGCAUUGACACGUUCACGUGGAGCUUGGAGCACUCUAUCAAGGAAUGGCGGCUCAGCCUAUCCGGCUUGCACGUCCCAAAUAGAAAAAAUUAUGAUCUUCCUUGCUAACUUUCCUUUCUUUGGUUGAACUAUUUGGAAUGAAAAGAACGCACAGGGUUUCCGCCACAAGUCCACAUCACUGUCAAUUUUUCUUGGCAUCAUCAAGAAUGAAGCUACGCUUGGGGCGAUCGUGGGGAAAAGAGCCGUUGGGUUCAAUACUACAGGGAGAGUAAUACAGUAGCUUUUUUUUUGGGUAUUAUGUUGCCGUGUAAACAAACUCUAUCUCUACUACCUAAAAGAAACGGAGUGUUCCGUCUCCCGUCUUACGUCGCCCACCCCUUCGUCCAUCCUCCUCGUACGACCCCUCCCCCUCCCAUGCUUUCAUCUUUGGUAAUCAAAUAAAUCUUAGUAAUAAUAAGAUCAAUCUUUCCUUUGGCAACACAAUAAAUUUUCGGACAGCAAUCAAUUUCUUCUUUGUAGUACAUGGUAAUACAAUAAAUUCAUGGGAAGGAAUAAAUCACAGUAGGUAAUCAAGCGAGGAGCCCGGCGGCCGCCUUCCUCUUCUGGUCUAUCCAUGCCUCCCGUUCGUGGAGCCCUCCUCACUUUCCGUUCCUCCUCUCCCAUGAAGCGCCGCCGCCCCAUUUCCUAUGUCCACCCGGACCGGCGCCGGCCGCACCCCAUCCCAUCCCCUCUCCUAUCUCUCCUAGAAAUCAUGGUGGGGGUGAUUGUCGGGACCCCUGUCUGAAGAACCGCGGGGCUACGCCGUCCAACGACGAUGGUCAAAGAUUUCGGCAGCUAGCCGUCGCCUGAAAGUGAAAGCGGAAGUUGGCCGGAGACCUCAAUGGUAGUGCAGCUUUUAUCCCCAACGGCCUCAUCUACCUGAUCUCUAACUCAUCCCGACCGACCACAAACGCCGGCAGGGGCAGAGAUUUUCAGAGUUUUGAGUUUACACUGAUCUCAUACGUGGGUUUACACUGGUAAGAGAUUUGCCGCCGGUCGAUCUCAAUGGUAGGCUUACACUGAUCUCAUACGUGGCGUGUUUUGAGUUUCACAUAUUGGUCUUCUAUCUACUGACGGAUUAACUCUUACACAGACUUUGCUAGAUUGUAGCAAAGAGAGGACUUGAAGCUGGGAUGGACCAAGGUUAAUCAAGGGAGCAUCAAGGUCUGAACGUGAUAAUUGACGAAAUAAUUGCACCAUAUAUAGGAAUGGCACUGAAUUUGUUAGGGGGUCAUUGCAGUUCUUGACGUGGCAUGAGGAGGAGAUCAGAGCUGUGGAUCAGUCCAGAUUCAGAGAAUGUGUGGUUGAUGGUUUGCACCCGUCCAAUUCAACCAAAAAGGCCUGCAAUGCGCUGGUCGGCGCCUUGUACAGGUACAGUUAAGAUCAACUCUGAUGCUUCCUUCCUGCUGGACACUGAACAAAGCUGGGCCACACGGCCGGUGCUGUGGUUUAGUAUCAUAUAGAAGUUUGGUAUUUUUCUCGGUGUGUUGGCAGAUUUAACAAUGCAGUAGUGUGGAAGAGGCGGAAGGACAGGCUGCUUUGAUUUGGUUGUGUUCGCUCUGGACUGUAUACAUGGGGAUCGUUAAUGAGCUGAUACCCGAGGCGUUGAAUUGGUCUCCUUGCUACUCCCUGUAGCCUUUCCCUCCUAAAAAUAAGUUUCAAUUUUUUCUGAAAAGUUUUGCUAUAUUUUCAUGCGGGGUGCAGUGGGGGUGCACGGGCUCAGCCACUACUUUCCAUUAUUUGCAAAGUUGUAAUAAACUACGACAACUAUAAGGUGUUCCUUUUUAGAGCUCAUAUGUGUGCUUCGUUGCAUGUGCACAAGUAGUCCUGGUUCUGAAAACCUAUUUUCAAGCUUUUAUCUCUGCCAUACGAGCAUACUGCCUUUGUUUAGGGUGCUAAUUUAUGACUGCAACAUAGAGUUACUUUUAGGUGGACAUGAGGAUUCUAAGUCGAUCACUCACAUCAAGUCUGCUCAUAAAAUAGCUAGGACUGUAGCACGUUCACACCUUUUUUAGGAAUAGAAUAAUUGAUUACCCAACAGCCACAACACAUUCUAUUUGCAUCAAUGGUCGCAACUUCAACAUGAUGUCGUCUAUUGCAUCGAGGUCACCUUGGGUUCUAGCUAUGGUAGUGACCUCAUGGGGGAGAGUGUUGCAGCUCAUGCCAAUCACACGGAUUUUUUAGGAGGGAAUGUAGCGGCUGAGCCCCACCUCGGUGCAUCCCCGUUGCGCCCCACAUAAAAACAUAGGAAAACUUUCAAAAAAAAUUGAAACUUCCUAGGAAUGAUUAUGAACAAAUGUUAUAGAUGCUUACAAAAUUUUGUGGUCAAAUGAUAUCCAAGGAGCUCUGUACAAAAAAAGAUACAAAUUCUUCUCAAACAGUGCACAUACAUUUUUUUUUGUACUGAGUUCCUCAACGUCAUUUGACCACCAAACUUUGCAAGCACAUAUAAUAUUUGUUCAUAAUCAUUUCCACAAAAUUUCGAAAAGUUUGGCUAUGUUUUCCUUUGGGGCUGUAGCGGGGUGCACCAAGUUGGGGUGUAGAAAAACCACUCUCUUGCAAAUAAUCAAUAAUUUCGAUUUACAUGUACAGGUACCUCGGUAGGACUUGAGGUUGCUCUUGAACUUAGUCUCAUCAAGGUGUCAGUAGGGGAGGGAGGGAGAGAGAGAGAGAGAGAGAGAGAGAGAGAGAGAGAGAGAGAGAGAGAGAGAGAGAGAGAGAGAGAGAGAGGGAGGGAGAGAACAUAAAAAGCAAUUUGAUUGAGACACUGCAGCGGGAGAGGGGGAGAAAAGGGGUCGCAGUUUGAUCGUGGCAUCAUAACAGGAGAGGGAGAGAACAUAGAAUGCAAUUUGAUUGUGAUAUUGCAACGGGAAGGAGAGGGGGAGAGACCACUGUUUGAUCGUGACAGCAGGAAACAAAGGGAUGAGGCAUGUGGGGAAGGAGAAGUUUAAUGUGACGUAUCCGAAAAUUAUAGGUACACCUUAAUAAGACCAAUAUGAAGUGAAAUAUAACACAACUAAAUGUAUAAUUACAAAAAAACACAACUAAAUGUAUGAGUUAAUAAUAUUCAAAGUAUAUGUUGGUCGGGUGGGGGUGGUGAGCCAGAUGCAUCACUCAUAGGGUGGCGAGCUUGGAUUGGGAAGCUUGCUUUAACGGUAAAAGAGCAUACAAUACAAGAUGUGCAUGUUGAUUCUGAAGGUAUAUGUUAGACAUGAUUAAUACUGAACCAUCAAAAUAUCAUAAUAAAUAUAUUCCGUUGCAACGCACGGACAAUUAACUAAGAUGAGGGAGAGAGACUUACUAAGAUGCGAACAAUAUGAAUUAUAAAAAACUGUACGGUGGGGUUGAAAGGGGGAUUGCGAGCUGGCUACACCAUUGACAAAGGUUGUACGCUUAGAUUUGUAUGCCAGAGAUAGUGGGUCAAGGAGGUAGAAGAAGGAGGAGAAAGAAGAAAACUGAUUUUAGCAAUAGAAAGGCCGACAAUAUCAUCUAAUGCUAGCGGUAAAAAAUACAAUAGUGUCAUCUGAUGUGCAUGAGGAUCCUACAUGUAUAUGUUAGCCAUAAUCAGUGUUGAGCCAACAGAAUAUGUAUGUCCCUGUGCAACGCACGGGCACUUACCUAGUUCUCUUUAAUAAUUAAUAAAUAGGCGAUGAUACGGGUCGGCGGACUGGCCCAAAUUUCGGCCGGUCGGCGCGCGCACGUUGGAUCAAGCCGUCCUGCAUCGUUAGAUUUCCUUGUCUCCCCAUCCUGAACCUCUGAUCUGAACACACGCAAAAAAAAAAAACAAAAACAAACCCGCACAGCUCGCCGGUCCAACGCGCCGCCCGCUCUUGCCGUCCACCGCGCCCGCCGGCGCUUGUCCUCGACUAGCCGCGCCGCCCGCACUCGCCAGACACCAUGCUCCAUGUUGGAUUUAGAACGUAGAUCAAAUCGCCGGAGUGUAGGUCCUACGUGCAAAGCUAACUUGCAAACAAGCAGGCAAGCAGCUUAAUUGAUCUACAGUACCACAUGCACGAUGAGCUAGCUUCAACUGGAUUCGAGUCGAUCGUUGGAAACUCUAGGCGGAAGCUCUCGUAAACAGAUCAGGGCGAUAAAAUCACUCGACGGUUGCAGCUUUUUUGCACGCCGGUCGUAGCUUUUGGGCUCGUCGGUGGUAGCUUUUUUGUCGCCGGUUGCAGCUUCUGUGCUCGACAGUUGUAGCUUUUUUCGUCACCGGUCGCAGCUUCCGUGCUCGCUGGUCACAAUUUUUUUCAUGCCGGGUUGUAGCUAUGAAUUGCAUGGUUGCAGCUUCGCCAUCGCCGGCCGAAGCAUCAUUAUAGCAUUGGUCUUUGCCGGUUCCAGCACCCGCCAAUGCCGGUUGCAAGCUUCCGUGGAAACGCGAGCCUCUAUGAAGCUUUUUUUUCCAUUGCCGGUCAUCGGCUGAAGCUUUAUUAUCUACGGUUGAAGCUUUUACUAUCAAUGGUUGUAACUUUUCUGUUGCACAUUGUCUCAUUGAAGCUUUUUUCAUCUAGGGUUGAAGCUUUUCUGUCAAUGGUUGCAACUUUUUUCCGUUGCAUAGUGCCUGAUUGAAGUUUUUUCAUAUACGGUUGAACCUUUUUCUGUCAACGGUUGCAGCACUGGCCGCCCCCCAGCUUCCGCCACAUCUGGUUGAAGCUUUUUGUAGACGGUUUUAGCUUUCUCAGGUGCCGGUUGCAGCUUUGCGGUUGCACAGAGCUGGUUGUAGCACACAGCAGCAAAAAAAAAAGCAACACUAAUUCCAACAAAAAAUUGUCACCGGUUCUAGGAAAAAAUCUCUCCGGUUGUAGCAUCGGCGGGGGAGUAUGAGGUGCUUGGGGAAGGAGAUGCUUGCAGCGUUGGGGGAGGGGGUGCUCACAGAAGUAGCAGGAAGUUGUGCCGUCGGCACUGACGAGCUUACUGUGUGUAACAAGAGAGGAGAGAAGCAAGAGGAAGAAGAAAGCAGAGAAAAAAAAUUACGCGAAAGACAUAAGAAAAGAGACAUCUCGCUUGAAUUGAAGGCUCAUCAAACUCGUGUGGCCCAGUCCGCUUCCGCGUACACAAGCGAGCGAGCGAGGGGCGACCGGCCGAGCGCUCGGCCGGUCGUCCGUCUGGAAACGUCUCCCUUAAUAAAUGAGGCAAAACUUAUGCCUUUUGUUGAAACAAAAGAAGUGUUCCCGGCAUUUGGAGAAUGAUAGAUUUAGGAAAUUCCCCCUUCACUCACAAAUAUAAGAUGUUCUAACUUUUUUUCUAAAUUAGAUAUACACAGACACGUUUUAGUGUAUUAUGUCCGUAUAUAGCCCAUAUUAAAAUCAUGCAAAGCAUCUUAUAGGGAGAAGCUCACUUUCAUCAAGAAAACAGUCCGGGUUCAGCACUUCUCGGACUUUCUACCAGAUCUGGUGGCCAGCGAUAAUGCUGUGCACCAUAUACGCGAAAGCGGUUCAUCGUUCAUGCAGUCAUGCUUCACAAGUUCAGUCUAACAGCAAAGAGCUUCGGUCAGAGCAACAGCAUACGCCACAUGCAGUGAAACCGUAAUCGAAGAUCAAAGAGCUUCUGUCAGAGCACAAGGAAAACCACCGGCACAUGUCGCCGGUGCGAUCUUCUUGGCCAGACGAUUCUGUUCGAGCAGUUCCUGAACAUUACUCUGUUCCCAGCUGAAGUUCACAGAUCUACGGCUUGCUGUGGAUUCAGAGCCAAUUCUUGGGGAGGAGUGGCCUCGUACGAUAUACCGGAGCCUACAGCCGCGGCCGCGCCGCCGCGGGGUGGUCCUUGACCUUGCCCCACACGGCGGGCCACAUCGCCUUCCUGAUCUCGGCCACGACCUCCCCGUCCCACCCCCUCGCCGCGAGCCCCUCGGCCGCCGCGACGGCCGCGGCCACCACGUCUUCGACGCCGCCGUCCGCGGCCGCGUCCACGAUGCCCAGCCGCACCGCCUCCGCCGCCGUCAUCUUGUUCCCCCCGAGGACCAUGUCCCUCCUGGCCGCUGCGUCGGGGACCUUCUGCCGGAGCAGCUCCCCGAAGUAGUCGGCGAACUUGAGGCCGACGUCGACCUCGCUCAUGUACAGGAACCCGCGGGAGGCGCGCAUGACGACGGAGUCGUGCGCGAGGGCCAGCGCGCACCCGGCGGCGGCGGCGUGGCCCGUGACGGCGGCCACGCUGGGCAUGGGCAGCGCGAGGAGGUCGGCCACGAGGGCGCGGAAGGCUCCUCUCAUGGAGUCGUGGAGGUGGGGCGGGACCGUGCGCGCCCAGGCCUGGUCGAAGCCGUUGGAGAAGUACUUGCCCUCCGCGGCCAGCACGAGGGCACCGGCACUGGGUGAGGCGCGGACGGUGGCCAAGGCGGAGCGGAGGGCCGAGAUGAGGGAUGGGCUGAGUCGGUGCUCGCCGGCGCCGGUGAGGGUGAUGAGGUGGACGCGGCCGCGCUUCUCCACUGUGCACAUGGUUCGCUUGUCCAUUCGGGGAUUUGGGGAUCGCGAGGUGAUCGAGUUUCUAUUAAGACACCCAUAUCCGGCCAUCAUCCGGUGUAUACACAGUACUCCCUCCGUCUCAUAGGGCGUGUUUGGUUGCCGUGCGCUACAGCCUACAGUACCCGCAUUGCAUACAUUUCUCCAUCCAACCUGGCUAAGCAAAUGCAGCCUCAAAUGCAUCAUCUGUAUGUUGUUUGGUUGCCUGCAUGCCCUCUUGCCUGCAUGGGCAGAACCACACUGCCUGGUGUUUGGUUGCCUGCAUGUUAGUGGACAAACCCAAGGCAUGGUGUUUGGUUGUAUGCAACGCCUGGUGUGUGGUAACCUCUUUGACUAGUUGGUGAGGUUACCAGCACACUUCGGCACAACCAGUAGCACACAUCAUAAACAGAGCAGAGUAUAAACAGAGGAUCAACUACUUAAGAGCAUAUUUCAGAUAAGCAGUACAACACUUCAUAACAGUUCUACGCAUAAACCAUAAACAUAAACAGUUGAAAGCAGACUCGAUAGUACUUAGGGAGGCCCCGACCCUACUCCUUGGCGGCGAAGGCUUCGUCGUGCUUCCCGCACUUGUUGACGACCUCAAUGCCAUCGUCGUCGAAGAUGAUGACCUUGAGGGUGUCGGGAGUGAGGAGCUUGAACGUCACCAUGUAGCCGAUCUUGAUCUGAUGAACGGCUGCGUAGGUGGCCCAACCCUGAUCCAGGGUCACUCUGCCGUUCAUCAGCUUCACUGUCACCUUCCAGGAGCAGCCGGUGUUGUUCCUGAGCUUGAACUCCGUCGGCACCGCGACGAAGUGCUUGGUGAAGUCCACGGGCAUGGGGAUGCACUCAAGCUUCGGUGCAAGGAUGACCUUGCAGAAGUGAGUUGGCCAUCCUCCUGAUGGUAGUGGUCGUAGUUGCGACGCUUGUUGCUGGGGGGCUCCUCCAUGCCCUCGUCGUCACCACCCUAAGGCGUCUUCGGAUCUUCCUCGGCGGUGGGCGGCAGCACAACCUCGUCGGGCAUUGGGUGAAGGGGCUGCUUGCCCUUGUUGUCAACGGCCGGGAGCACCUCCAUGCCCAUCUCAUUGCUCUCCUCGAUCUGCACACAAUUCAUGGAGUCAAGCACAGCACAGAGUUCAUGGCUAAUUGAAGAGCAUGUAGUUAAAAUGACAUGACUGUCACUCUUCUCCUCUCCACCCCCUAUAUUUACUCACCCUGCCCACCACCACUUACCCACCCCCUCUCUUCUCUCACUGUCAACCUUCCUCCUCCUCAUCACCAUGAGCUCUAGCUCCAGCUCCAACGCCAACCCCUUCCCUUGGGGUAUUGGCUGGAGGGCCUUCUUCCUCGGGUGGACGGCUGGUGACCGGACCAAGUUCGAGAACACCAUGGAGGUGUGCUCGAACUUCGGCUCCAUGCCUGAGAUGCAGAAGGAAUCUAAUGCAGUGCUCAUGAAGGCCACUGCAGAAGAGCUGAAGAUGCUGAUUCCUGACCCAGCGAAGGGCGCGAUGGCAGUUGACAUCAUUCGCUGGGCCAUGAAUCAGGCCGUCUCCGACGACGCUAAACAGAGGAAGAAGUGGUGCAAGUACAAGACCUACCGGGCUCCUAAUGACCGCUGUGCCGCAGUGUACUGGGAGACGGCUAUCGCGCCGCCGGCGGUCAUCGGUGGGGAGCCUAAGGAGGAGGAAGAAGAAGCGGUGCAGAUGCCAGCGAGGGCGCCGGAGCCAGGCCGUCGUACCUGGCAGAUCGACCUCGACUCCGCCGAGGACAACGACGACCCGCCGGCCCGCACGGCGAUGAAGAAGAAGAAGAAGGCCCGCUCCGCACGCCGGUGACGGCCGCCGCGGUCAGCCGGUGUCCGUUGUGUACCCCUAUCCCCCAAUCCCCCUUCUGCAUUCCGAUCUUGCAUCUAUGAACUCGUAUGAACUGCUAUGAACUAGUAUGAACUACCCCUAUGCUUAUCUACCUCUAUUCCCCAUUCCCCUCCGCCGUGGAUCGAAUCUAUCGCCGGAUCGAACAGGAUAAAGUUUUGCAUGUCGAAGAGAGAGAAGUGCUUACCGCCAGUGCCGCGGGCCAGCUGCUGAUCCGCUCGCCGGUGAUGGAGUCCGGUGGUCUUCUUCCUCUGCUCCGAUUCGCCGCCGGUGAGAGUUGGGAGAGUGGGGAAGAGUGGGGAGAGGGAGCGGUGAGGGGCGGUGAGGCUAAUAACUGCCGGGGCUUCGGGAAGCAACACGGCUUCUCGAGCGUGGCCGCGCGCAUGCAGCCGCCACCGCCCACGUGCACCGCUCGGGAUCUGGCCGUGGAGGAACUGCUGAUUCGUGCGUUCCCAGUGAGCCAGGCCCAGAGGUGCUUUAAGUUUCAUGCUGUGCAGACCCAAUAGUAAAACCAGGCGUCCAAACAGCCCGUUCCCUUCCCGCGCGGGCCUGGUUGGGCCUUAUGCAGGCAACCAAACACGCCCAUAAUAUUUAGUUAUGGGAAAGAGCGAGUAGUAUUUAAACCAAUAAGGAGGCUGGGCAACUCGCCUCUCUGGUUUCCCUCGAUUGGGCUUUCGUUGACCGUUGGAUCUGGUCAUCUAGAGUGUUUGAGCUGUGGGAUUUUUACCUGGUGUCAAACCCGAUUUCACCUCGUGGUCGUUUUCGCUGUCCAAUGACUGGUGGGCUCGCACCGCGUGUUUAUUGGCUGGAUUGAUCGAUCUCGGGUGGAAAAUGCUUUCACCCAAUCCCCGCACGCGCUCCGCUCCCAAUCCUGGUCGCGGGCUUGCUGCGUCAGAGCCCACACUCGCACCAACCCUAGCCGCCACACCUCUCCUUCCUCCCUCGCUCGACAGCGUCGCACCCCUCCCUCCUUCCUGCUCGUCCGGAUAGCCGCCGACCGCCGCAUCCCUUCUCCCCUUUCCUCCUCCAUCCUCCUUCCCGCUGGCGCCCCUCGCGCUUGUCCUCGGAAGGGGGGCCUCCCGCAUGGAUGAUCGGGUCUUCAAACUGGGGUUAGAGGAGCAGGGGAGGGCCAAGAAGCCAGCGGUGGGGGUAGAGGAGUAGGGGAGGGCCAAGAAAGCUGACCGGGAGCACACCACCAUAGGCGUCAAGGGAGCCGUGGACAAGCCGCCAGGAGGAGAAAGCUCCCAGUUUGAGGAGGAGACUACAUCACAGGUGUGUUUCUUCCCCCCUUUCCUCAUCUUUCCAUGACGACCUACAAAAAUUUCCAGGUGGUGUUUUGGAACCUGGAUUGAUUUCGUACUGUACGUGGUGUGGUGUGCCCUUGCUAGGAAUAUCUGAUGUGUGUCAUGACACAAUCAAUUAUAGAGAUAAAUAUUACUCUCUCUGGUUCAAAGAGCAUUUAGAUUUCAUAAAUUGAUUGCUUAUAUCAUUGUCAGAAGCUGGGAAGCAUGAUGCUCGAUUAGUGGGCCGCCGCUUGAGAAGAAGCUUGUCAUAUGUCUCUUCAAGCCGCGGCGACUAGGGGCCUUCGAAGAACACGGGGUUUGACAUAGCCAUCGAGGAAGUGCAGGGUAAUACUCUUAUAUGCAGUAUGGUAAUUCUACGUGUGAUGAUGUUGCUCUAUGUUUUCAUAUGAUAAAUCUUCAAAAAAAAUAUUGAAACAUGCAACUACAGCCUGUGGAUAAUCUAUAAGCCAACCAAGGUGGCACUGCUUCAAUGGAUGUGACGAUGAAUCAAUUUUAAGUACAGCUCACUAGAAAGUGAUUGAUCUUACAUGUAUUUUUCUCUUUUACUGGACGCAAGAAGCAACAAUGUUAGUAGAUAAGAAGUGGUGUUAGUCAGGUUAUUUUUGAGCUAUGAGAAGCCUCUCUUAUACUACUGAGCUUUUUAACUCCACCCAACCAAAUGUUCAAACGACGUUUCAUUUUAAUUUGUAAACUGCUUAUGGGAUUGGGACCUGGGAGAUGAUCAUGUUGUAGAUCAUCUUAAUUCUUGAUAGUUAGAAAUCAAUAUUUAAGACCAUGCAUGCAAUAUUUUUUCAAACCAUUCUAUUGUAAAUCUUCACCAAGUUGCCAUCUUUUUGCAGAUACAAACCAUAUGUAAUCAAAGAGGAUAUGGAUUCGGUACGACCAUGAGUGAAGGAAUGUUGUUCCAAUUUGGUACUUCAGUUUAUUAUUUCUUUUAGUCUAUAUUAGCUUAAGAAACAACAUUUGUGGGACAACUAAUGUUUGAACAUGGAAUUUUUUUAGGAGCUUGGAGAAUGUUUUCUCACUAUGGUUCAGGUUAAACUGUUGUUCUACUAUUCCUGCUCAUCCUCCUAAUGUUCUAUUUCUUCGAUGCACCUUCUUCCAGCUUCUCUACUGGUUUUCUCUUCACACUGAUGUAAGUACAUGUUCCUCCCUUCGUCCAAAUCUUCUCCGACCAUGGUCGUUUGCAUGUUUCACCCCUGUUGGUGGUUCACGCGUCGGCCUCGGUGCUCUGAGCAGACCAACAUUUCUCAUCUUGGUGAUUGUAUUAUUGGGGCUUUGCUACAUGUGUAGGUUUGAAUCGAUGGCUAGAAAUACAUAGUGCCAUUUUGUCUUAUGGAGUGAUAAUUAAGCAGACACACAUAGCCGCAAAAGGGAUUGCUCAAAUGAAAUAAGUUGCUAAUUUUGUAUCUUUGACACUCAUGGAAAAGGUGCAUGCCAAUCCUAAUUAUAACCGUAUCACAUAUAUGGAACUGCAUUAGACGAAUGGUGUUAUCAGGAUGACAAAUUUCAGUCACAGAACUGAACGUUCCUUUUCUUGGUGUAUAUUUGUCAUAUACAGAAUUCAGAAAAAUUGUUGGAUAUUACAAUUCAUAUAUUCACUAUUUAGAAUCGAGAUAUCCAAUCAUGUUAGGAUAUGAUAUGGUCUUUAUCCAGGGGUUCUAAGUAUUAUGAAUGUGCAUGUCCUGAUACAUGUAAUUAUAAGGUAGUUACAAGCUAGCUGGACAUGUGUGUCAAAGUGCUUGCAUUUCAGUUUAUGUAGGAAGAGGAGCAUCAAUACCUAGUUCUCCCGCCUUGUAUAUGUAACGUCUUCCUUCCAAGCAAUUAGUAUAUGGAAUUAGAGAUUCUUAUAUCCAUAUUUUUUGGAACUUCGUGGAUUCCUACCAUCUCUAUAUAAUUACAACAAAACCAAUAGGUUAGAGUGGCGUGUCCCUUAGUGCGACCGAUUGGGUACAGAUGAAGCCUCUCAUCCCACAUGCUCAUUGUUUCUACCUCAAACCAAUCCCGUGGCCUCCUUUUAAAUUAUUGAUACAUGUGUUGCUUCAUUUAUUUAUUUUGAGAUCACAUAUUAUCCAAUUCCUUAUUAUUAUUGUUAAAGAAAUAGCCUAACAUUAUACAUGGAUUGACACUGAAUAUGUAAAUCAGGUAGCAUACUUACAUUAAUGCGUUCAAACAAUUUUAUUCAUCACCUGAUAGAAGGAAUAAUGGUGACAUUUCAAUACAUUUUUUCAGUCAUGUAUGCAGUGUUGGCAAAGAGCCUGCUGAUACGUCCAUUUUGCAUCAUGUUUUCCUACUAUUAUUUAUAAUGGUUUUAUGCAUAAUAAUGCUUUAUGAAGUAAUUCUAAUGCCCUUUCUCUCAUAAUAUGCAAGGUUUACACAAAGAGGGAGAAUGCCGGCAGUUGGAAUUCUGGACCUGAAAAAGCUACGUCGGAGCUACCUAUUCUGCACAAAUCCAAAUGAGCUGAAAAUUUAUGGAGAAUUAUUUUGCAAUAUAUGAAAAAUACUGGAGCAAAUAACUACCGGAGGGGGGCCACCUGGUGACCACAAGACACCAGGGCGCGCCAGCCCCCUAGGCGCGCCCUGGUGGGUUGCCUCCGGUGCCCAUCUUCUGGUAUAAGUCAUUUUGACCUAGAAAAAAUAAGUGGAGGACUUUUGGGACAGAGCACCGCCGUCUCGAGGCGGAACUUGGGCAGGAGCACUUUUGCCCUCCGACGGAGCAAUUUCGCCGGGGAAACUUCCCUCCCGGAGGGGGAAAUCGAAGCCAUCGUCAUCACCAACAACCCUCUCAUCUUUGGGAGGCCAAUCUCCAUCAACAUCUUCAACAACACCAUCUUCUCUCCAACCCUAGUUCAUCUCUUGUGUUCAAUCUUUGUACCGGAACCUCAGAUUGGUACGUGUGGGUGACUAGUAGUGUUGAUUACAUCUUGUAGUUGAUUUCUAUAUGGUUUAUUUGGUGGAAGAUUAUAUGUUCCGAUCCAUUAUGCUAUUUAAUACCCCUCUGAUCCUGAGCAUGAAUAUUAUUUGUGAGUAGUUACUUUCGUUCUUGAGGUCACCGGAGUAGUCAUGUUGCAAGUAAUCAUGUGAACUUGAUAUGUGUUCGAUAUUUUGAUGAUAUGUAUGUUGUGAUUCCCUUAGUGGUGUCAUGUGAACGUCGACUACAUGGAACUUCACCAUCUUUGGGCCUAAGGGAAUGCAUUGUAGAGUAGUUAUUAGAUGAUGGGUUGCUAGAGUCACAGAAGCUUAAACCCUAGUUUAUGCGCUACUUCGUAAGGGACCGAUUUGGAUCCAAAUGUUUAAUGCUAUGGUUAGAUUUUAUCUUAAUACUUUUCUCGUAGUUACGGAUGCUUGCGAGGGGGUUAAUCAUAAGUGGGAGGCUUGUUCAAGUAACAAUAGCACCCAAGCACCGGUCCACCCACAUAUCAAAUUAUGAAAGUAGCGAACGCGAAUCAAACCAACAAGAUGAAAGUGACUAGAUGAAAUUCCCGUCUGCCCUCAAGAAAAUUUUGCUUAUUAUCUGAGACCGUUUUGGCCCGUCCUUUGCCACAAAAGGAUUGGGAUACCUUGGUGCACUUUAUUGAGCAUUACCUUUACUUGUCCGUUAUAAUUAUCUUGCUUUCAAACUACCUGUUACCGACUAUUUCAGUGCUUGCAGAAAAUACCUUGCUGAAAACCACUUGUCAUUUCCUUCUGCUCCUCGUUGGGUUCGACACUCUUACUUAUCGAAAGGACUAUGAUUGAUCCCCUAUACUUGUGGGUCAUCACUUGCAGAACCUAAGUUGGUUGAAUGGACCAAAAGAGACAACAAGUUUGACCGCUGCAGAUGGAAGCCUUCCAGGGAGGUGGCUCAGCAGGUGGGCGAUGGCGGAUGCCGGUCUCACGCGGCUCCUACGCCCAGCCACCAUAUCCUCCCUAGCUAAGAAAGAGGUUCGAUUGACACCGCUACCUCUUCCUUGCCGCCCAGCAGGAGGGGCACUAGGUGAGUAGCCGUAGGACGCACCACUGCUAGAAGCGUGUUGUCCUCUUUCGCUCCAUCAUAUUGUGUGCUUUUAGAUUUAAUUCAUGUUUAGUUAAUGCCCACUGAUUGUGAUGUUCAUUCUAUGGGGAGUUUUAUCUACUUUUCAUAUUUUGUGCAUUUUCUAUUUCAUGUAUUGGCCAGUGGUCCUAAAUUCCCAGUGGUUUCUUUAUUCUUCAGGCAAAUGACAUAUCAGGAGAGGAUUUAUUAGAGGAUCUUCUAGAAAGCUUUUUUAUAUUUGGUUCCUGGAAGACUGGUACGCAACUGUGUUUUUUGUAAAAUAUGUUCUUGCUUGAGGGUGAAUAUGUUCAUUCAUAAUCAUUGUAUCAUUCAUAACAAACAAUUCUUAGCAUCAACGCUGAUGCCUAUAUUACAUGCUAUAUACCUUUCUAAUGUAAUCUUGUGCAUGUCAAUGGCACCGACAGUGGUUUAAAACAUAAGCUGGUGCAUCUGUGCUUGCUUGUUGCUUUUUUUCUACUAGGCAAGGUCUAUAAUAGAAUAGAUAUCCAUUAAAACUUGUAUAUGUGGUUGCUACUUCUUGAGCUUGCGUUGGUUUUUCCCUUGAAGAGGAAAGGGUGAUGCAGCAAAGUAGAGAUAAGUAUUUCCCUCAGUUUGAGAACCAAGGUAUCAAUCCAGUAGGAGGUACAAGCAAGUCUCCAAUCUAUGCACCUGCACAAACAAUCAAACACUAGCACCAAACACGAUAAAGGGCCGGGUUGUCAAUCCCUUCACGGUCACUUGCAAGGAUGAGAUCUGAUAGAGAUGGAUAUAAAAGAUUACUAAAAUGUAAAACAAAGUAAAAAGAAAUAAAUUGCAGCAAGGUAUUUUUGGAUUUUUGGUUUUAUAGAUCUGAAAAUAUAUGAUGGAAAAUAGACCCGGGGACCAUAGGUUUCACUAGAGGCUUCUCUCUUGAAGAAAGCAUACGGUGGGUGAACAAAUUACUGUUGAGCAAUUGAUAGAAAAGCGAAUAAUCAUGAUGAUUGAUAACCCACAAGUAUAGGGGAUCACAACAGUUUUCGAGGGUAGAGUAUUCAACCCAAAUUUAUGAUUCGACACAAGGGGAGCCAAAGAAUAUUUGAAGGUAUUAGCAGCUGAGUUGUCAAUUCAACCACACCUGGAGAUUAAUUAUCCGCAGCAAGUAAUCAGUAGCAAAGUAGUUUGAUAGUUUUGAUAGUAGUGACAACAGUAACGGUAACGGUAACAGUGAUAGCAAUAUUUUUGAAGCAAGUGUAACAGUGAAGAAAGCAGUAGUAACUUAGCAAGAUCAAUAUAGGAUAAAUUCGUAGGCAUUGGAUCGAUGACUUGUUGGAUGAUAUUCACCAUGAGACAGUUAUAACGUAGGGCGAUACGGCACUAGCUCCAGUUCAUCGAUAUAAUGUAGGCAUGUAUUCCGUAAAUAGUCAUACAUGCUUUAUUAAAAGAACUUGCAUGACAUCUUUUGUCCUACCCUCCCGUGGCAGCGGGGUCCAUAUUGGAAACUAAGGGAUAUUAAGGCCUCCUUUUAAUAGAGAACCGGAACAAAGCAUUAACACAUAGUGAAUACAUGAACUCCUCAAACUACGGUCAUCACCGGGAGUGGGCCCGGUUGUUGUCACUCCGGGGUUGCCGGAUCAUAACACGUAGUAGGUGACUAUAACUUGCAAGAGCGGAUCUAAAACAUGGAUAUAAUGAUGAUAACAUAAACAGUUCAGAUCUGAGUUCAUGGCACUCGGGCCCAAAGUGACAAGCAUGAAGCAUGGCAAAGUUAUAGCAACAUCAAUCUAAGAACAUAGUGGAUACUAGGGAUUAAGCCCUAACAAAACUAACUCAAUUACAUGAUGAAUCUCAUCCAACUCCUCACCGACUAGCGAGCCUACGAAGGAAUUACUCACUCCCUGUGGGGAGCAACAUGGAAUUGGCAAUGGAGAACACGUACUCCCCCAAGCUUAGGCUUUUGGCCUAACUUGGUAGUCGGUCAGUAGCCUGGAGGGUAGUAGUCGGAGUGGUAGCUCACGGAGGCUCUCGGUGUUGACGCCUCGGCCUGCCGUGUUGCCAACGCUGCUGCGUUGUGAGCUUGGGCCUCGCUCUCAAGAACAAAAUAUCUCCCCUUGCUGUGAUAGUCAAAAAGAGCAGGCGCAGGCAAAUAUGUGUGCACAACAGAUGUUUGGUUAAACAACAAAUUGUACGUGAAGUCAUGAAUCUUUCCUUUUAGGAUUUAUGCUCUUUCAAGGUGUUAAAAUCUAAAUACUGCUUGGGUAGGAUAGGAUCAAAGGGCAAAGGUGAAACACCAAGCCCCCGUGCUAAGCGCGUGGCAUAAAUUCCACCAUAGAAGUAGCCACUGUUAGCGUUAUGAUGAAGUCUACGUGCAACAAUAGCUCCAAGGUUAUAGUUCCUUUCACCAGUGAGAGCGGUGCAUAUGAGGCUUGUGACGCCCGGAUAAUCAAGCUACAGUAACCUCUGCUAAUGAUGCCACGUCACGUCGAUUACUGUUGCUAAUUUCGCGUUAGUUCAAAACCGAUUCAAAAUUCAAAAUUCAAAAACACGUCAAACAAUUAAAGUUUUCAAAGGUCAAAACUAAAAUAUUCCAGGUGUGACAAAUAAUACCUAGAUAAUAAUGGUGGAGAAACCAACAUCCUUAAAAAUGUUUGAAUGUCCUAACAUAAAUAAAACAGUGGCAAAACAAUUAAUUAAAUGCCUUUUAUCAUUUAUAAAAUAUCAAACUAUUUUAGUUAGGAGUGAGACUUUUUGUGGCAGUGGGUUAAACCAUAACACUAAUUUAGAAACUAUUUUCCUAAUUUAUAAAACUAAGAUAAAUAGAAAACAAAAUAGAAAACUACUAAAAAGAAAAGAAAAUGCAACACAGAAAACAAAACAAAGCUAAAAAAAGAGAGAGAGCGAACCCCCCCACUGGGCUCCGGCCCAGCAGGCCACAGCCCCACUGGGCCAAACCACCAGGCCCAGCCGGCCACUCCCCCCCACUCCCCUUAUCCACUCACCCGAAACCCUNNNNNNNNNNNNNNNNNNNNNNNNNNNNNNNNNNNNNNNNNNNNNNNNNNNNNNNNNNNNNNNNNNNNNNNNNNNNNNNNNNNNNNNNNNNNNNNNNNNNNNNNNNNNNNNNNNNNNNNNNNNNNNNNNNNNNNNNNNNNNNNNNNNNNNNNNNNNNNNNNNNNNNNNNNNNNNNNNNNNNNNNNNNNNNNNNNNNNNNNNNNNNNNNNNNNNNNNNNNNNNNNNNNNNNNNNNNNNNNNNNNNNNNNNNNNNNNNNNNNNNNNNNNNNNNNNNNNNNNNNNNNNNNNNNNNNNNNNNNNNNNNNNNNNNNNNNNNNNNNNNNNNNNNNNNNNNNNNNNNNNNNNNNNNNNNNNNNNNNNNNNNNNNNNNNNNNNNNNNNNNNNNNNNNNNNNNNNNNNNNNNNNNNNNNNNNNNNNNNNNNNNNNNNNNNNNNNNNNNNNNNNNNNNNNNNNNNNNNNNNNNNNNNNNNNNNNNNNNNNNNNNNNNNNNNNNNNNNNNNNNNNNNNNNNNNNNNNNNNNNNNNNNNNNNNNNNNNNNNNNNNNNNNNNNNNNNNNNNNNNNNNNNNNNNNNNNNNNNNNNNNNNNNNNNNNNNNNNNNNNNNNNNNNNNNNNNNNNNNNNNNNNNNNNNNNNNNNNNNNNNNNNNNNNNNNNNNNNNNNNNNNNNNNNNNNNNNNNNNNNNNNNNNNNNNNNNNNNNNNNNNNNNNNNNNNNNNNNNNNNNNNNNNNNNNNNNNNNNNNNNNNNNNNNNNNNNNNNNNNNNNNNNNNNAUUAGAUAAUUAAUUUAAUUAAACAGUAAUUAUUUAGCUAAACCCUAAUUAACCUAAACGGAGAAUGACAGGUGGGUCCCACUGGACCCACAUGUUAGUUUGACUUAGUCAACCCCAGUUGACUGCUGAUGUCAACAUGACAUCAUGCUGAUGUCAUAAAUCCAUUUUCGAAUUAAUUUAAAUAAUUAAUUAAAUUCCAGAAAUUAAUAAAAUCUUUAGAAAACCAUAUCUUUUAAUCCGUAACUCGGAUUAAAAUAUUUUCAACAUGAAAGUUGCUCAGAACGACAAGACGAAUCCAGAUACGCAGUCCGUUCGUCCACCACACGUCCCUAGCAUAGUGAACCUGCAACAUUUCACCUCCGGUUCAUCUGUCCGAAAACGUGAAACACCGGGGAUAUUUUCCCGGAUGUUUCCCCCCUUCACCGGUAUCGCUUACUACCGCGUUAGGGCAUACCUAGCACCGCGUUUUGCCUCCUUAUGUUUUGUGAUGCUUUGUUUGCUCCGUAUUUACUGUUUCUUCCCCCUCUUCUCUCCGAUAGACUACGAGACCGACACUGGUGCUGCCCAGUUCGACUACGGAGUUGACGACCCCUCCUACUUGCCAGAGCAACCAGGCAAGCCCCCCCCUUGAUCACCAGAUAUCGCCUAUUCUUUCUCUAUACUGCUUGCAUUAGAGUAGUGUAGCAUGUUACUGCUUUCCGUUAAUCCCAUCCUGAUGCAUAGCCUGUCAUUGUUGCUACAGUUGUUACCCUUACCUGCUAUCCUACUGCUUAGUAUAGGAUGCUAGUGUUCCAUCAGUGGCCCUACACUCUUGUCCGUCUGCCAUGCUAUACUACUGGGCCGUGAUCACUUCGGGAGGUGAUCACGGGUAUAUAUUAUAUACUAUAUACAUGACACAUGUGGUGACUAAAGUCGGGUCGGCUCGUUGAGUACCCGCAAGUGAUUCUGAAGAGGGGGCUGAAAGGACAGGUGGCUCCACCCCGGUAGAGGUGGGCCUGGGUUCCUGACGGCCCCCGACUGUUACUUUAUGGCGGAGCGACAGGGCAGGUUGAGACCACCUAGGAGAGAGGUGGGCCUGGCCCUGGUCGGCGUUCGCGGAUACAUAACACGCUUAACGAGUUCUUGGUAUUUGAUCUGAGUCUGGCCAUUUGGUCUAUACGCACUAACCAUCUACGUGGGAGUAGUUAUGGGUAUCCCGACGUCGUGGUAUCAGCUGAAGCCUUCGUGACGUCAGCGACUGAGCGGCGCGCCCCGGAUUGGACUGGAACACCACUAGGCUAGGUCUGCUUCCGGCCGCGUACGCAACAUGCAGGUGUGCAUAGGGCGAUGGGCCCAGACCCCUGCGCGCUUAGGAUUAGACCGGCGUGCUGACCGCUCUGUUGUGCUUAGGUAGGGCUGCGACGCGUUGAUCUUACGAGGCCGGGCAUGACCCAGAAAAGUGUGUCCGGCCAAAUGGGAUCGAGCGUGUUGGGUUAUGUGGUGCACCCCUGCAGGGAAGUUUAUCUAUUCGAAUAGCCGUGUCCCUCGGUAAAAGGACGACCCGGAGUUGUACCUUGACCUUAUGACAACUAGAACCGGAUACUGAAUAAAAUACACCCUUCCAAGUGCCAGAUACAACCCGGUGAUCGCUCUCUAACAGGGCGACGAGGAGGGGAUCGCCGGGUAGGAUUAUGCUAUGCGAUGCUACUUGGAGGACUUCAAUCUACUCUCUUCUACAUGCUGCAAGAUGGAGAUGUCCAGAAGCGUAGUCUUCGACAGGACUAGCUAUCCCCCUUUUGAAAGAUCGUGGAUGUCGCCUAGAGGGGGGGGUGAAUAGGCGCUUUAAAAUAAUUACGGUUUAGGCUUGAACAAAUGCGGAAUAAACGUAGCGGUUAAUUUGACAAGCACAAAACCUACAACAACUAGGCGCACCUAUGUGCACCAACAACUUAUGCUAAGCAAGAUAAACAACUAAGUGAUAGCAAGAUAUAUGACAAGAAACAAUAUGGCUAUCACAAAGUAAAGUGCAUAAGUAAAGGGUUCGGGUAAGAGAUAACCGAGGCACGCGGAGACGACGAUGUAUCCCGAAGUUCACACCCUUGUGGAUGCUAAUCUCCGUUUGGAGCGGUGUGGAGGCACAAUGCUCCCCAAGAAGCCACUAGGGCCACCGUAAUCUCCUCACGCCCUCGCACAAUGCAAGAUGCCGUGAUUCCACUAAGGGACCCUUGAGGGCGGUCACCGAACCCGUACAAAUGGCAACCCUUGGGGGCGGUCACCGAACCCGUACACUUUGGCAACCCUUGGGGGCGGUCACCGGUACCCGUCAAAUUGCUCGGGGCGAUCUCCACAACCUAAUUGGAGACCCCGACGCUUGCCCGGAGGUUUACACCACAAUGAUUGAGCUCCGAACACCACCAACCGUCUAGGGCGCCCAAGCACCCAAGAGGAACAAGCUCAAGGGCACCAAGCACCCAAGAGUAAUAAGCUACUCAACUUGUAACUUCCACGUAUCACCGUGGAGAACUCAAACCGAUGCACCAAAUGCAAUGGCAAGGGCACACGGAGUGCCCAAGUCCUUCUCUCUCAAAUCCCACCGAAGCAACUAAUGCUAGGGAAGAAAAUGAGAGGAAGAACAAGAAGGAGAACACCAAGAACUCCAAGAUCUAGAUCCAAGGGGUUCCCCUCACAAAGAGGAGAAAGUGAUUGGUGGAAAUGUGGAUCUAGAUCUCCUCUCUCUUUUCCCUCAAAAACUAGCAAGAAUCCAUGGAGGGAUUGAGAGUUAGCAAGCUCGAAGAAGGUCAACAAUGGGGGAAGAACACGAGCUCAAAAGAUAAGGUUCAUUGGGGAAGAAGACCCCCUUUUAUAGAAAGGGAAAAAUCCAACCGUUAUGUGCUCAGCCCGCACACGAGCGGUACUACCGCUCCACGAGCGGUACUACCGCUCUGGCGGAAGAAGCAGGGAAAAGGAGCAACCAAACAUGAACCUUGGGGCGGUAGUACCGCUUAUAACCGGUACUACCGCGCACCCCAGCGGUACUACCGCUGGAGGAGCAGAACACGGGACCAAAAAAAAA